rnacentral:rRNA from 1 species
CCUACGGGAGGCAGCAGUGGGGAAUAUUGCACAAUGGGGGAAACCCUGAUGCAGCGACGCCGCGUGAGUGAAGAAGUAUUUCGGUAUGUAAAGCUCUAUCAGCAGGGAAGAAAAUGACGGUACCUGAUUAAGAAGCCCCGGCUAACUACUUGCCAGCAGCCGCGGUAAGACGUAGGGGGCAAGCGUUAUCCGGAUUUACUGGGUGUAAAGGGAACGUAGACGGGAGCACAAGUCUGGAGUGAAAUGCCGGGGCUUAACCCCGGAACUGCUGUGGAAACUGUGCAGCUAGAGUGCAGGAGAGGUAAGUGGAAUUCCUAGUGUAGCGGUGAAAUGCGUAGAUAUUAGGAGGAACACCAGUGGCGAAGGCGGCUUACUGGACUGUAACUGACGUUGAGGCUCGAAAGCGUGGGGAGCAAACAGGAUUAGAUACCCUUGUAGUC